CCUACGGGAGGCAGCAGUAGGGAAUAUUGCUCAAUGGGGGAAACCCUGAAGCAGCAACGCCGCGUGGAGGAUGAAGGUUUUCGGAUUGUAAACUCCUUUUGUUAGAGAAGAUAAUGACGGUAUCUAACGAAUAAGCACCGGCUAACUCCGUGCCAGAAGCCGCGGUAAUACGGAGGGUGCAAGCGUUACUCGGAAUCACUGGGCGUAAAGGGCGCGUAGGCGGGAUAGCAAGUCAGAUGUGAAAUCCUAUGGCUUAACCAUAGAACUGCAUUUGAAACUGUUGUUCUAGAGUAUGGGGGAGGUAGGUGGAAUGCUUGGUGUAGGGGUAAAAUCCGUAGAGAUCAAGAGGAAUACUCAUUGCGAAGGCGACCUGCUAGAACAUAACUGACGCUGAUGCGCGAAAGCGUGGGGAGCAAACAGGAUUAGAUACCCGAGUAGUC
rnacentral:rRNA from 1 species